GCCAGCAGGGUGCGCGAUAGCAGAAGCAGGAAGAGAGCCGGGGGAAGACACCUACCCUGGCCGGAAGACACGAAGAUCCAGAAAAAGGCCAUCCGGGUACAACGUAGCAGUUACAUCGGACUGUGACACUUACUGUUUACAGGAGACUAUAAAACUUUGCCCAGUCGUCACUUGGGGCCCGCCUGCACCCAGGCCGUCAUUAAAACAGCAUGUUGCUCCACACCGCCUCGUGUUGUCUGUUGGUGUGCUCUCAGGGUGGAAACGAUACAAGAACGUUACACUUACAGGCUUUAGUUUAUAUUAUUCUCAUAGAAGACUUCCUCAUAAUCCAAUUUAAAAAAUGAGAGUUUCCCUGCACAAGCUCUUGCUUUGCCUGAUGCCAUCCAUGUAAGACGUGACUUGCUCCUCCUUGCCUUCUACCAUGAUUGUGAGACUUCCCCAGCCACGUGGAACUAUUAUGCUCCAAGACACUGAAUCUGAAAGGAUGCAUCCAGUCUUGCCAAGUGGUUUCACUACCAAGGCCAGUCUCCAUCUAUGAUAGACCCAAGGAAGAUCAUUUACAACUAGAAUCUAGUCAUUUAGGAGAUUGUGUGCUCCCUGGAUGGGCCAUCUGCACUGGUGUGAGGUUUAUCUCAUUGAAGGGAAAACCAAAGGAAUCUUCUUGAAUAUCAGCACCAGGAAGAGCAGUACAAACUGGAGAAGCUGGGGUCAUUGUUGAGAGACAAAAUGAGAUCAUGUCUGGGAAAAUACUUCUAAAUUAUCAACUCCCUUUCUAUGGAAGAGGAUGACCAAAGAAGGAUGCACUCCUUGUCUGGAAUUAUGCCAGAGGUCUUAAAAUGCUCAGAAAUGAAAUCAGCCUUCUUCCCUGUCCUAAGAGGCUCAGGUUUUCGGCAAGUAACUCAUAAAAUUAAUGCUCCACUGAAAAUAAAAUCUGAUUUGAGUAGUAUCAGCACUUAGAAGACCUUUGGAGGCCGGGGGUAUUUUCUCUUUUACAAUGCUGUGAACAACAUUCACUCCUGGAAAACACUCCAAUGUCUUACAUCUUGAGGCUGUGGGGAUUUUUUUUUCUUUUGGUUUAAAUGUUGCCUUUCCUAUCUUUCUGCAUAUCAAUUUUUCCCCUGCCCAAGUCACAGGCUUGGUAGUAACCAUCAUGUUUACUGCUGUUCCUUCACAUGUGGUUCUCUGAGGCUUCUGAGCACCAGAAUUUUAUUAAACAGAGCUACUCACACCAUAAAGAUGGAAUUCUGCCAGAUCUGAAUCAUAGAAUAACACCAGAAUUGACUUCAGAAAUCAUCUUCUCUAAAGAUUUGCAAGAUUUUUAAACAGCACAUGCCUUUGUAAAAUGAAAUCAUCAGUGGAACACCGUAUAUAAAAUAAAAUUAAUAAAAACUACUAUGGCUGGAGAGGUGAAACUCUAACAUAUUACACAGUCUCCUGGGUUUUUUUGCAGAUAUUAAGGAUCCACUGAACCAUUUGAAAACUACCCUAUAUACUCCCCCUUUCCAGUGCUUCAGUCCCUUCUAUAGUAAUCACCACUGGAUUGUUCAGUCUUUCAAUAUUUUCAGUGGUGCCUAUCCUCCCAAGAAAGGCCAUCUUAAUUUGGGACAGCUUUAACUGUCUAUUUGGAAAAUCAUUCUUAUAUUUUAAUGGUCUCCUUGUAACCUCUAUUUAUUGUUACUAGAACAGAACUAGACUGUGCUCUAUUCCAUCUAAGUAUUGGGGUCAAUGAUCAUAUUCCUCCACAAACUUAUAGUUUUUUUACAAACUAAAUAUCCCCUGAUUUUUUCAACUUUAUCACAGUGUGAGAAUAUGUGGGCCUAAUCUCUUUAUUCUAAUUUCUUUCCUUUGAACUUGCUUCACUUUGUCAAUGUCAGUUUUAAUUUGUGUGCCUAGAACUGUAAAAAGUAAUCCCUAUGUUGACUGUAAUCAUCAACUCUUUCACUUUGAACAUUCUACCCCUGUUAAUUUGGCCUAUAAUUGAAUUUGAUUUGGGGAAAACUUGUCGGAGCUUAGCCAACUAAAUCCCCAAUAUCAUCCUUGAAUAUGCUACUGCAGAACCAAAUCUCCCAUAUUACAAACUUUUAAAAUUGUUUUAAUGACUUCAUGUGGUCAUUUUCCUUUGCCAUGGCUUUUAAAGUCACAUGGUUCUAUUAGAAAGAUUUCUAGGUCUCUUGUCAUUUCUAGAAUCUGGUUUGUUGGAUUUGGCAAAUCAAUAUCUGUAUAUUUGUUCACUUUUUAUUCUGUCAAUCGCAAACAUGCCAUCUGCUUAAUAAUUUCCCACAGAUCUUUAUUGAUAUAUAUUUUGUUGGGAAAGAAUUUAUCAUUUUAGAUCCAGAAUAUGUAAUCAUAGCUGUCCAUUUAUAUCUGACCAUAAAGAACUUUCCUACUAUAGAAUUUUUGAGAUUUGGUGAGGGCUAACUAGAAGGCUGAAAGGAUAGGAAAGCUGCUGAGUUUAUUUGGUUACACACCAAUGGUCCUGUAAGUCUGUAAUUUCAAAAAUCUACCCGAAAACAAGGGAUUGUAUCCACUGUUAAAUGGAUGAAGUUUUAAGCAUCAGAAAAUCAGUCUGAAUUUUCAUUAUUCCCUAGAAAUUUUCUCAACUUUGUGAGUUUCAUCCAGGUACUUUGCCGUUCUUGAACAUAUUUUCAUGUGGUUUUAUAAUAUUUAUUCAACAUUAUUUUCCAUUAGUUCUCUAAUUUUAAUUGUUGGUAAGCAUUUCGAUGUGUAGCUAUUACAUGGUGCAGAACUGAUUUAUCCACGUUAAUGUCUGAGGAGACCAUGACCCAUUUUAUCUGCUGCGUGGUCAGCCCUGGUAUUCAUGGCAGGUUGUCUGAAUAUUUCUGAUGAAGUCUUUAAGUACAUGUAAUUCUGAAAACACAUUCCCAUUCAGUAAGACUUAUACAGGAUGGUAAGCCUAACAUGGCAAAAGGUUUCUAAAAAAUUCCAUAAACAUUAAGCAUAUUUAUGUCAUAGCAUUAAGUUUGGUCAAUUUGAAACUUACCGUAUUGUAGUAUAAGAGGCAUUUUGUUUGCUUGUGUUUACUUUCCCAG
rnacentral:lncRNA from 10 species